rnacentral:rRNA from 1 species
UACGUAGGGUGCGAGCGUUAAUCGGAAUUACUGGGCGUAAAGGGUGCGCAGGCGGUGGCUCAAGCCAGGCGUGAAAUCCCCGGGCUUAACCUGGGAAUGGCGUUUGGGACUGGGUCGCUAGAGUGUGGCAGAGGGAGGUGGAAUUCCACGUGUAGCAGUGAAAUGCGUAGAGAUGUGGAGGAACACCGAUGGCGAAGGCAGCCUCCUGGGCCAGCACUGACGCUCAUGCACGAAAGCGUGGGGAGCAAACAGG